UACAGAGGGUGCGAGCGUUAAUCGGAAUUACUGGGCGUAAAGCGUGCGUAGACGGUUAUGUAAGUCGGGUGUGAAAGCCCCGGGCUCAACCUGGGAAUUGCAUUCGAGACUGCAUAGCUAGGAUGCGGAAGAGGGAAGCGGAAUUUCCGGUGUAGCGGUGAAAUGCGUAGAUAUUGGGAGGAACACCAGUGGCGAAGGCGGCUCACUGGACCGGUACUGACGCUGAUGCGCGAAAGCGUGGGGAGCAAACAGG
rnacentral:rRNA from 1 species